rnacentral:rRNA from 1 species
AGUGAGAAUGCCGGAAUGAGUAGCGAGAAUUAUGUGAGAAUCAUAAUGGCCGAAAAUCUAAGGUUUCCUGAGGAAGGUUCGUCCGCUCAGGGUAAGCCGGGAGCUAAGGCGAGGCGGAGACGCGUAGCCGAUGCACAUACGGUUGAAAUUCCGUAGCCACCGAAAGAUUUAAGUACAGGGACGCUUUAGAAGUGAUGUUGCCGGGCGAUGGUUGACCCGGUCGUAAGGGAUCGAAAAUGAGUAGAGAAGUCAUCAUGGAAAGAGACAAGAAAAGCUGUAUGAAUAUCUUAGGUGCCCGUACCGCAAACCGACACAGGUAGAUAGGAAGAAGAUUCUAAGGCCAACGGGAGAAGGGUUGUUAAGGAACUCGGCAAGUUGACCCCGUAACUUAGGGAUAAGGGGUGCUCAAGUGAUUGAGCCGCAGAGAAUAGGCCCAGGCGACUGUUUAGCAAAAACACAGGUCUCUGCUAAAUCGAAAGAUGACGUAUAGGGGCUGACACCUGCCCGGUGCCGGAAGGUUAAGAGGAGAUGUGAGAGCAUUGAAUUGAAGCCCCGGUAAACGGCGGCCGUAACUAUAACGGUCCUAAGGUAGCGAAAUUCCUUGUCAGGUAAGUUCUGACCCGCACGAAAGGUGUAACGAUCUGGGCACUGUCUCAACAACCCGCCCGGCGAAAUUGUAGUACCGGUGAAGAUGCCGGUUACCCGCGACUAGACGGAAAGACCCCAUGGAGCUUUACUGUAGCCUAAUAUUGGAUUUCGGUAUUUCACGUACAGGAUAGGUGGGAGACUGGGAAGCACAGGCGUCAGCUUGUGUGGAGUCGACCUUGGGAUACCACUCUUGGAGUGCUGGAAUUCUAACCUGCGGCUUUGAAGCAAGUCGGGGGACAUUGUUAGGUGGGCAGUUUGACUGGGGCGGUCGCCUCCUAAAGAGUAACGGAGGCGCUCAAAGGUUCGCUCUGCAUGGAUGGAAACCAUGCGUCAGAGUGUAAACGCAAAAGCGAGCCUAACUGCGAGAAUGACGGUUCGAGCAGUAACGAAAGUUGGAGUUAGUGAUCCGGCGGUAUGUGAAUGGAAAUGC